AGGGAAUAUUGGGCAAUGGACGCAAGUCUGACCCAGCCAUGCCGCGUGCAGGAUUGAAGGCCCUAUGGGUCGUAAACUGCUUUUGCAAGGGAAAAAACCCCUGAUCGUGAAUCAGGGCUGAUGGUACCUUGUGAAUAAGCAUCGGCUAACUCCGUGCCAGCAGCCGCGGUAAUACGGAGGAUGCAAGCGUUAUCCGGAUUUAUUGGGUUUAAAGGGUGCGCAGGCGGAACUGUAAGUCAGUGGUGAAAGCCCCUCGCUCAACGAGGGAACUGCCAUUGAUACUGCCGUUCUUGAGUGUAGUUGAGGUAGGCGGAAUGUAGCAUGUAGCGGUGAAAUGCUUAGAGAUGCUACAGAACUCCGAUUGCGAAGGCAGCUUACCAAGCUAUUACUGACGCUCAUGCACGAAAGCGUGGGGAUCAAAC
rnacentral:rRNA from 1 species